CACACUCCUCGCUCCUAUGUAGUACAAACAUCAGAUGGCAGGCGUUACAGAAGAAACCGUAGGCAUAUAAGACCAACCGCUUACAAUGGAAACACAGUUGAAAAUGAACAUUUCAAGAACAAUCACAAUUUAACCGUCCGUAAAACUUCAACUGUCUGUAACAAUUCACAAACAUUAGACCGCAGUGAAACCGUUGCGUCCGAGGAAAAUGAAAGUAUUGAACCAUCUAAGUCACCCGUGACAAGAUCUGGAAGAACAGUCAAAGUGCCAACCAAAUUAAAUGACUAUGUAAAAUAAAUUUGUUGAACUGUCAAGUAGAUUUUAGAAAGC
rnacentral:lncRNA from 1 species